CCCUUAGAUGUUCUGGGCUGCACCCGUGCUACACUGGCAGGUUCAGCGAGCUUCAUGCCCUGAUCUGAAAGGAAUGGGAAAUCUUUUCAAAACCUGCCGUGCUUGGGAUAGAUGUUUGCAAUUAUUCAUCUUCGACGAGGAUUGCCUUGUAAGCGCACGUCAUCAGCGUGCAUUGAAUACGACCCUGUAUUCUGUACACACCGCCCGUCGCUCCUACCGAUUGAAGUUUUCGGUGAGUUGACAGGAGGAUUUUUUUGAAACUGGUUCGCCAGUGGAUUUUAGAUCCAAAUGCCAACGAAUCGAUGGCUUUAGAGGAAGGAGAAGUCGUAACA
rnacentral:rRNA from 1 species